UACGUAGGGUGCGAGCGUUAAUCGGAAUUACUGGGCGUAAAGCGUGCGCAGGCGGUGACCCAAGUCAGAUGUGAAAUCCCCGGGCUCAACCUGGGAACUGCAUUUGUGACUGUAUAGCUAGAGUACGGUAGAGGGGGAUGGAAUUCCGCGUGUAGCGGUGAAAUGCGUAGAUAUGCGGAGGAACACCGAUGGCGAAGGCAAUCCCCUGGACCUGUACUGACGCUCAUGCACGAAAGCGUGGGGAGCAAACAGGAUUAGAAACCCUUGUAGU
rnacentral:rRNA from 1 species